rnacentral:rRNA from 1 species
UACGGGGGGGGGCAAGCGUUGUUCGGAAUUACUGGGCGUAAAGGGCGCGUAGGCGGCCUGCUAAGUCGAACGUGAAAUCCCUGGGCUCAACCCAGGAACUGCGUCCGAUACUGGUUGGCUUGAAUCCGGGAGAGGGACGUGGAAUUCCAGGUGUAGCGGUGAAAUGCGUAGAUAUCUGGAGGAACACCGGUGGCGAAGGCGACGUCCUGGACCGGCAUUGACGCUGAGGCGCGAAAGCGUGGGGAGCAAACAGG